GGCUGGGCAGCGCCAGGCUGCGCGGCGGCCGGCCGGGCGGGGAUCAUGGUGGCUGAGGAAGCACCGGGGCGCCUUCCUUUCCCCCCACCCCCCUUCCCCCCAACCUCAGGGCGGUGGGCAGCGCCGGGGCUGCCCGCACCGCGACUCAGGUCACAGGCUGAAAGCAGAUCUCUGCAGAAAAAGAGGAGAGUUUGUGACUACAAUGAGUUUUGAAGGUCAGAGGACAUGUCCUGGGAGGUAACACUAUUUGCACAGGAGCAUAUCCGAAGAAAAACUGUGGUCCAUAAAGAACUUCCCAAACAAGAUAACUGCAAAGCAGAUUUAAUUGUGAGAAUUUAUUGCUCUUCAAAACAACAAGACUGCUUAAUAAUGGUGAAACAAGUACUGAAAAUUCAGGAAGCAGGCAGUGCAAUGUCUACAACAUCCUUAGUUUUACCCCCUGUGUCCAUACGUGCUCACUAUCCAUCAGCAGGAGAUCCUAACUAGCUGUCAUAGGAAAUAAGACUCUAGAGUGUGUACAUUUGCUUUUUGCAUGAUGGUAUUUUUACAGAAAUUUACUGUUCAACGAGUUUAAUUUGUGGUCUAAACUGAUAAUAACUCCAGCCUAGAGAAGCAUUUAAAUACACAUUAACAAUAAAGUUAAGCACACUUAAAAUGCUCUCUCAGUUGGAAUCCAAGACCUGAACUUGAAUCUCUCAUGCCUGUGAUUUAGUGUAUAGAAGCCUCAAAUUUAUUUGCAUGGUAAAGAGCUGAUCGGUGCUAUCUGUGAAAUGCUCUUGUCUGAACUGCGGAGAAAUCUCAGGAAAAACAGAAGAAGGAGAAAAGAAGUUGAUCUGAUGCUUCCAUAAAUAGAAUGUGGAAAAAUUCUGAUGUCCUAAUGGAUUUUUUAUUUUCCAAUGGUAAGUGUAUAAUUUAACUGAUAGAGAAAUGUUUCACAGGACUGUGCUACUCAAUUUAAAGAAAAGACAACCAAAAAAUAUACAAUUCAAAUGUUUUCACUGUGAUGGGUAGUUACAGCUUUUGUAUUAAAACAACUUCUAGGUUAGAAAUGUCAUUUUAAUGAUAACAUAUGACACGGACUUAAUGCAUUGAUUUUAAUCAAAGAGCACCUGGCAAGAGACUGUGAGUUUUGAGGGAGAAAAUGUUUGUUGUACUUCAGCUCUGUUCUGAACCAAAACCAAACCAAGUCCUGGAUUCUUAAUGUUUAAAGGGAAGGCUUUUUUUUUUUUUCUUUUUCUUAACCUGAGUACACACAUGGGAUCAGGAGAUCCUUUGAAGGAGAAUGAAUGAAUUAGUAGAGGGUACCAAAUAUAAAUUAUAUCAAGUUCCCUUCCCAAAAUAGGAGCAGAAUUUGAAAGGCUGCUUGAGUGUAUCCAUUGCCAAUAUCUGCCAAGAAUAUUCAUAGAAGAAGAAGGGCUAGAGGCAGUUUACAGGGUGAUCGUUGGAGGCUGAGGACUUCACUUUCUAUUAGAGAGAUACAAGGACAGAGAUAGGAGACUUCUACAUAAAUUUGAUUCAUUUAAGACCCCAGAUAUAUGUAACAUAUCUCUAGCCAUCAAAGUAUGAUGGAAUUAGAAACAGAUAGUACAGUAGAUAUACCCUUCCCCAAAAUUCUCAUAGGGUUAAGCCAAGGGCAGAGAUCACCUUGGUAACAAAUGGGCCUCUUGGUAAAAAGAUAUCGCCUGUCUUCAUUGUCAGCAUGGCCAGUGGGAAAACUGUUUGCUUGUGCCUAUUUUACAAACUACGUUUGGCCAAAACCUUUGGUACAAAAUGAUACAAUUUACUAAUUUUAUGUUCUGUAAAAGCAGCUCCUCCUAAAAAUCAAAUAUUUUCCUCUGACUGGGAAUGAACCAUGGAGUAGUGCAGAGAAAGUGUUGAGGUGUUCUAAUGAAAUUAGUUUUAAAGGGAAAAUUGUUUUGGAACCUUAAAUAAUGGAUCACUACCGUUACCGUAUAAUUAUUUACUUACAGAUCAGAUUACUGUUUACUUUUGCCUUGGCAUAAUGUAGCUCUUCUUAGCUACAAAACCAAAAUAUUGAUGAGUCAGGUAGCUAAAGCAAGAAGCAGAAUUCAGAAUGCUUUAAAUAAUGCCGGGCAUUUUAUGCAACAUUUUAUCUAACUAAAAAUUAGUUCCCUACUUGAUAGAAGAAAAUGGAUAACUCCUGAAGUAAAGUAUCUUUUCCUUCAUCAGUGCUAUAAGCAUUGGAAGGAAGGAUGGCUCUGGACCCUGACUAAACUUAUUUUCUGUAUUAGUAGGUAUAGUUACACAUUUUGUCUAAGUAUAUAACAAACAUAUUUGGGUGAAUUUCCCUUCUUUUAAUCCUGCUAAUUUUGAAAUCCUGUCUCUUUUCACUGAUGUUUAAAAAUGAAAAACAACAAAUACAACAGAGAACAGUAGCAGCAAACCUAAUGAAUUUCAUCUUAGAGGUUUGCACAGACUUUAGAACGCUAUUAGGAGACAAACAUUGUCACUUUGUUUCCACUUCAGGAAUUACAACAGGAUUAUACAUGAAUGUAUACCAGACAGGAGGUUGCAUACCAUGUGAUAAAACUCAUCCUAAGUAACCCCAAAGUGUCACAAUAGGAUAACGAUGUAGCUUGCCUGGGUUCUCCAAAACUGCCAAGUAAAGAUGCUCACCUCUAUAGACCGAAACCAGUGGCAGAUGUCUCCACUUGCCUGACCUCUGCUAGCAGAGGGAGCUGGGACGCUGUGUUUGCUGUGUUCAGCAGCACGGCCAGCCACCAAUGGUCUUUUAUUUUUCUUCCUGACACAUUGCUGAUCCUUUAGCACUACUAGAAGAGGUCUUGUGCUUGGAAGCAGAUGUAGGUAUUUUCAAUUAAAAUGCUUUCAUGGGCCCCAGAAGCUCUUUGGUGUUCAUUCUCACUGUUUGGACAUUAGGCACUUCACCUCAUCUGUUUUGCCAGCUGCCUUGGGGAGAUUUGCUUCUGCGAGGGCUUAUCCUGUAAGUUAAAAGGCAACUGUUAAACUUGUUUGUGGUAUGAGUUGCUUCGCAUUGAAACACAUAAGGGGCUCAUUAAAAUCCAAAUGACAGAAGGUGGAAAUCUUUCUGGCACAACAGCUACUGUGUCACAAUAUUGUUGAUUCCUCAUUAGCAAUUUUCAGAGGUAGGCUUUUCACGGUAGGCCUGUUGUAUGAAAAUCAACCAGGUCAGAACAUCUCAGAAGAUGUUGUUGCAAGUGUUCAGCCUCCUACCAUUGAGCUGGGAGAUUUGUCUCUCCCCCUUCUCAAAGCAUCCUAAGGAGCAGAAGCUGAUCCCUUUUCUACUCCUUGGAAGUUUGCAUGCCAUACUUAAGCAGAUAUUAAAGGGCACAUGCAGCUUCAUUUCCUGUUCUAAAACACAUGGGAGAAUAUCUUUUCUAAUAGUCUCUCCUACUUUUCCUGUCAUUUUCACUGAGGGAUUAAGAAAAUUAAUCCCAAGGAUAUUUUGAGCUAACAACACUGAGAAGCAGUGGAAGUCUGUCAUGGUUUUAGAUGCUCUACACCACGUCCCUGUGGCAUUAACUGAUGAAUCCUCACAACACUUUCAGAACUACAGCUUGUGCUAGGCACUAUAUCAUCUACAUUUCAUCAUGUAUCCCAAAAAGAAAUACAUAUCAUAUUUGGGGUUACUGAGUAGUUUAUGUUAUGUAUGGUGCUUGCCAGACAAUGUCUGGACACCAGGAUGAGAGCUUGGGAUCUGUUCAUUGCUGUGGAGCAAAUUCCAUUUCCUCUGUUUUCCUGCUCCUCUUUAACCAUUUUUUUGUAUUGUUUUGUUUUGGCUUUGUUUGGUUUUUGUGACCCCUGUAGGGCAGGGAUGCCUACCCAUGCAGCCUGCUGUAGGGAACCUGCUUUGCAGGGGGGUGGACUCAAUGACCUCUAAAGGUCCAUUCCAGCUCUUACAAUUCCGUGAUGCCUCCUUUUACUCUGUACAGUGCUCACCAGCCAUAGAACCAUAGGAUCUCCUUUUGGGCUGCUUAGUACUGCUGUAAAAUGCAUUAAGCUUAAUAAAAUGGGCAAAAGUUUAGCACAGCCCUAGUUGUUGUAAAGCCAGGAGUGGCUUUGUAGAACUUCCCAAGAAAUAACUGAUAGGAUCUUAAGGCAAGGCAGCACUAUUCUGUAUCUUCUAUAAAUCUUACUUUGCCACACUUCUUAGACAUUUUAAAUAUAUCUUAGGAAUACUCAAACACUGUGUUAGUGCUGUGCUUUCCUUGUAUACAUCAAUAUGUAAGGCAACUGAGUAAGUUCCUGAGUUACCAUGGAGCUGAACUGCAUAGGUCUUGGGAGACAGCGAAAACUAAUAAAACAGAAUGAGAAAGUAACUCCCCAGGAACUGGAUUUUCAAAGUGCAAAUAGAUGAAUGUCGC